rnacentral:misc_RNA from 1 species
GAAAUGCGAUAAGUAGUGUGAAUUGCAGAAUUCAGUGAAUCAUCGAAUCUUUGAACACACAUUGCGCCCCUUGGUAUUCCAUGGGGCAUGCCUGUUCGAGCGUCAUCUACACCCUCAAGCUCUGCUUGGUGUUGGGCGUCUUUGUCCCGCCUCCGCGCGCGGACUCGCCCCAAAUUCAUUGGCAGCGGUCCUUGCCUCCUCUCGCGCAGCACAUUGCGCUUCUCGAGGUGUUGCGGCCCGCGUCCAGAAAGCAAUCGUUACCGUCUUUGACCUCGGAUCAGGUAGGGAUACCCGCUGAACUUAAGC